rnacentral:rRNA from 1 species
CCUACGGGAGGCAGCAGUGAGGAAUAUUGGUCAAUGGACGCAAGUCUGAACCAGCCAAGUAGCGUGCAGGAUGACGGCCCUCCGGGUUGUAAACUGCUUUUAGUUGGGAAUAAAAGGGGGCUCGUGAGCCCCGUAUUGUAUGUACCAUCAGAAAAAGGACCGGCUAAUUCCGUGCCAGCAGCCGCGGUAAUACGGAAGGUCCGGGCGUUAUCCGGAUUUAUUGGGUUUAAAGGGAGCGUAGGCCGGCAUUUAAGUCAGCUGUGAAAGUCCGGGGCUCAACCGUGGAAUUGCAAUUGAAAAUGGGGGCCGUGAGUGCACACAGGGAUGGCGGGAAUCAUGGUGUAGGGGUGAAAUGCU